AACGCACAUUGCGCCCGCCAGUAUUCUGGCGGGCAUGCCUGUCCGAGCGUCAUUUCAACCCUCAGUGCCCCCUCUAGGGGGAGGCGCUGGUGUUGGGGAUCAGCUUCACGGGGGGAAGGGCUUUCUCCCUCUCCCCCCUGCUGGCCCUGAAAUACAGUGGCGGUCACGCUGCAGCCUCCUAUGCGUAGUAACUAAACCUCGCAACUGGUAGCUCUGCGCGGCCACGCCGUAAAACCCCCUACUUUCACAAGGUUGACCUCGGAUCAGGUAGGAAUACCCGCUGAACUUAA
rnacentral:misc_RNA from 1 species